AUAACGGUCCUAAGGUAGCGAAAUUCCUUGUCGGGUAAGUUCCGACCUGCACGAAAGGCGCAACGACUUGGGCGCUGUCUCGACCAUGGACCCGGUGAAAUUGCACUGGUCGUGAAGAUGCGACUUACCCGCGGAAGGACGGAAAGACCCCGUGAACCUUCACUGCAGCUUGGCAUUGGCCGCUGGUCCCGCGUGUAGAGGAUAGGCAGGAGGCUAAGAUCCGGAGGCGCCAGCCCCCGGGGAGCCGCCCUUGGAAUACUGCCCUCGCGCGACCGGCGUCCUAACCCGAGGCCGUCAACCGGCUCGGGGACCGUGCCAGGCGGGCAGUUUGACUGGGGCGGUCGCCUCCUAAAGGGUAACGGAGGCGCGCGAAGGUCCGCUCGGGACGGUCGGCAACCGUCCUUUUGAAUGCAAGAGUACAAGCGGGCUUGACUGCGAGGCCCACAAGCCGAGCAGGUGCGAAAGCAGGCUCUAGUGAUCCGGCGGCCCCGAGUGGGUGGGCCGUCGCUCAACGGAUAAAAGGUACUCCGGGGAUAACAGGCUGAUCUUGCCCAAGAGUCCACAUCGACGGCAAGGUUUGGCACCUCGAUGUCGGCUCAUCGCAUCCUGGGGCUGGAGUCGGUCCCAAGGGUACGGCUGUUCGCCGUUUAAAGCGGUACGCGAGCUGGGUUCAGAACGUCGUGAGACAGUUCGGUCCCUAUCCUCCGUGGGCGCAGGAGAAUCGAUGGAGGCUGCCCCCAGUACGAGAGGACCGGGGUGGACGCACCUCCGGUGAACCGGUUGUCGACCAACGGCACGGCCGGGUAGCCGCGUGCGGCGCGGAUAACCGCUGAAGGCAUCUAAGCGGGAAGCCGUUCCAGGGAUUAGUUCUCCUUCCGGUAAGGGCCCAGGUAGACUACCUGGUCGAUAGACGGCAGGUGCAAGGACGGCGACGUCCUCAGCCGAGCCGCACUAAUCGCCCGAGCUCUUCCGGAA
rnacentral:rRNA from 1 species